rfam:TPA: Bos taurus chromosome 1, whole genome shotgun sequence.
UCCCUGGUAGCUCAGACGGUAAAGCGUCCGCUUAUAAUGCGGAAGACCCGGGUUCAAUCCCUGGGUUUGGAA